rnacentral:tRNA from 1 species
GGGUCAGUGGCUCAGGGAUUAAGCAAUUGACUUGUAAUCAAAAGGUACUUGGUUUGAAUCAAGUCAUAUCUG